rnacentral:lncRNA from 1 species
GAGUUUUGAAUUUUUUCUCUUUCCAAAAAUGUCUCUAUCUUUUUUACUAAUAUUGUCAUGUCCAGUAAUUUUCAACCAUUAAUUUUAAAUGAAUUUUUAAAUAAUAAUUUAUUCUCAAAUAUAGAUCUUAAGUUUUCGCCAUUGGAUCUCAUCCAACGAAUAAAAAUAAAAGUAUCUGUCAUUUUUGUUGACAAAAAUACCCUACAUAUCCGUUAUCUCCCAUUUACGCCGCGUUUCUCAAAUAUUUUUUUCUACCCACCAAUCAUGUAAUACGUAAAACUAAACUUAUCUCUUAUCUAACCUAACGUAAUACCCGCCAAUCACGUAAUACCUCUGCUAAUCACUAAAAAAAAAUUAAUACCCGCCCAAUCAAAACUAAAUAGUUAAUUAAAUAUAAUUUUAAAUAUUUUUAGCAAAAUAUUCAAUGUUUAAAUAAUACCCACCAAAAUAUUCUCCGCGUUCUCAAAUAUAAAAUAUAUUUUAUCCAUUUUAAAUAAAUCUUCAAAUAAUAAUUUAUUCUCAAAUAUAAAUUUUAAGUUUUCGUCAUUGGAUCUUAUCCAACGAAUAAAAAUAAAAGUAUCUGUCAUUUUUGUUAACAAAAAUAUCAUCCAUAUCCGUUAUCUACUAUCUACGUUACUCAAAUAUUUUUUUCUAUCCAUAAUAUGUAAAACUAAAUUUAUCUCUUAUCUGACGUAAUACCCGCCAAUCACGUAAUACCUCCGCUAAAUUUAUUUCCUAUCCAAGCAUUUUCUCAAAUAUUUUUUUUCUCAAACGUAAUACCUACCAAAAUUAAAUUUUCUCAAACAUAAUACCUACCAAAAUUAAAUUUUAAAUUUGUAAUACCCGCCAAAAUUUAAUACCUGUGAAUUUGAUAAUUUGAAUUUUAAUUCAUGAUAGUAGAUUUUUUCUUACAUAAGAUAGUAGAUUUAAUUUUGACGAGUAUUAAAAUUUGGCGUGCCAUAGAAGUGAUAUUGCUAAAAAAAUUUAAUACCCCCUAAAUCAAAACUAAAUCGUUAAUUAAAUAUAAUUUUAAAUAGUUUUAGCAAAAUAUUCAAUAUUUAAAUAAUGCGUCAUAAAAGCAUAGAAUAUUUCUAAAAAAAAUUAAUAUUUGUCCAAUCAAAACUAAAUCGUUAAUUAAAAAUAAUUUUAAAUUUUUUUAGCAAAAUAUUCAAUAUUUAAAUAAUAUCUACCAAAAUAUUCUCCGCAUUAUCAAAUAUAGAAUAUAUCUUAAUACCCUUACAUAUAAUAUCUACGCUAACCAAUCUUAUCUCAUCAUAAUAUUUUUCACACAAUAUAUACAUCAUAUUUUUUCUGUUUUUUUAUCUUUUUUAGUAUUUUUCAUUUUCACCUAUACGUUUCUUACAUAUAAAGAAUAUAUAUUUUUUUAGUAGUAUCUUUUUUUUUAUUUUUAUCUAUAUUUUUCUCAAAAAUUUUUUUAGUAAUAUCUUUUCUUAUUUGUUACAGAGGUACAUCGUCAUCGUCUUACUCAUCAUCAUUGCCUGUGCCGGAACAUUGUCGCGUUCGCCACCUUCGUUAUAAUUAAAGAGGUAUUUUAAUUCCAUCUGAAAUUUUUUUUUUAAUGUGCUUUUAUACUGUUUUAGUAUAUCUUUUUUUUUAAUUUUUUCUUAUUUUCACAUAUACGUUUCUCAAAUAUAAAGUAUAUAUUUUUUAGUAAUAUAUUUUUUUUUAUCUAUAUUUUUUAAAAAUAUUUUUAAAUAUUUUUUUUGUAAUAUACUUUCUCAUUUGUCGGCACUGGUACAUCGUCGUUAUCAUCGUCAUCAUUAUUACCGGUGCCGACAUAUUAUCGCCUUCGUCACUUUCGCCGCCUUUGCACAAUUGAAGAGGUAUUUUGAUCCUAUCUGAAAAUUUUUCUUUUUUUAAUAUGCCUUUAUACUGUUUUAGUAUUUUUUUUUAGUAUUUCUCAUUUUCACUUAUAUAUUUCUCAAAUAUAAAGCAUAUAUUUUUUUAAUAAUAUUUUUUUCUAUUUUUGGUAUUAUUUUUCUUAAAUAUUCUCAAAUAUUAUUUUUUAGUAUUUGUGCGACGUGCAUUGCACGUGCACUUAACUAGUAUAUAUAUAAUCUCAAAGAGGGAGA